AGGGUGGCUGUACAGCAAGAUGAGGGCAGUUUGGAGCCCUGCCUAAGAGGAAGGUCGGGGCCACAGCAGAUUGCUGUGUCCCCACAGACCCGGGCCUUCUGCUGCCCAUCAUGGCCAAAAGUGGAGAGGCUCUACCACAGGGCAGCCCAGCGCCAGUCCAGGAUUCCCAGCUCAUCCGGGUGACGGUGAAGACACCCAAGGACAAGGAGGAUUUCUCAGUUGUAGACACAUGCACCGUCGGGCAGCUAAAGGAAAAGAUAUCACACCGCUUUAAGGCACAUCCAAAUCAGCUGGUCCUGAUCUUUGCGGGAAAAAUCCUCAAGGACCCUGACUCAUUGGCACAGUGUGGAGUGCGAGAUGGCCUCACAGUUCACCUGGUUAUCAAGAUGCAGCGUCGGACCACAGGCACCGAAUGCCCAGCACCACCAGUCUCUACUCUAGGCCUAAAUCCUGGAGAACUCCCUCAGUCAAGUUCUGUUUACCCUGUGGAUGGGUCUCCUUCUUUCAGCUUAGGGGUCCUCACAGGCCUCAGUAGAUUAGGUUUGACCUCAGGUAGCUUCUCUGACCAGCCAGGAUCAUUAAUGUGGCAGCACAUCUCAGUGCCUGAACUUGUGGCUCAGCUUGUUGAUGACCCUUUCAUUCAGGGUCUGCUGUCCAACACAGGCCUAGUGCGCCAAUUUGUUCUUGACAAUCCUCACAUGCAGCAACUGAUCCAGCAGAACCCUGAGAUUGGUCAUAUUCUUAACAACCCCGAGAUCAUGCGGCAGACAAUGGAGUUUCUACGUAACCCUUCCAUGAUGCAGGAGAUGAUGCGUAGUCAGGAUCGUGCACUCAGUAACCUGGAAAGCAUCCCUGGUGGCUACAAUGUGCUCCGUACCAUGUACACAGAUAUUAUGGAUCCCAUGCUUAACGCAGUACAAGAGCAAUUUGGUGGUAAUCCUUUUGCUACUGCUACUACUGCUAGUACCACCACCACCAGCAGCCAACCAUCAAGGACAGAGAAUUGUGACCCUCUUCCCAAUCCCUGGACUUCCACAUAUGGGGUCUCAGGUGGCAGACAAGGGACAGGUGGCAGACAGCCUGGGGAACAGGAUGCACCCGAGAGUAGAAAUAGGCUUCCAAGCUUUCUGGGUAGCAUAGGACUCUUUGAUUAUCUCCAACAAUUACAUGAGACUUCUCAGUCCCUGGGAUCGUAUCUGCAGGGUACUGUGCCAACUCCAAACCCAAGCCAGGAAGCACCACUAUCAGGAAACAGAGUUCCACCAACUUUACCCUCAUCCCCUAAACCUGGGUCAGGCCAGCCUCUGCCCAAAGAGUCAGUAGCAAUCAAGGGAAAGUCAUCAUGCCCAGCUUUCUUGAGACACUCAUCUGAGAAGAGUACUGGACAAGGUGGAAGCCUACAUGAUGCAGGGAAGGGCUCUACUGGCCCAAGUACCGGCCUGCCCAAUCUUACCUCUCAGAUAGGAGAUUCUGCCAACAGGUCUCCGUUUGUUUCUACACCAUCUUCUCUUAUGUCAGCCACUCCUGGAGUCCCAGAAUCUCCCUGGCUUCCUCCAACAGGUUACCCAAGAUCUCUGAGAUCAGCUGGCACAAAUCAAGUCCCUCGAAUGCAGAAUGAGAUACACCAACAGCUCCCAUUACUGUUGCACCUUCAGACAGCCAUGGCAAAUCCCCGUGUCAUGCAAGCCCUGCUGCAGAUUGAACAGGGUCUGCAGAUUCUGGCUACUGAAGCACCCCGCCUCCUGCUCUGGUUCAUGCCCUGCCUAACAGGGUUGAGUGGAGUAACAGGAGGUACAGAAUCUAGAGAAGGUGCUGUUAUGUCUGAGGAUCCCCGACCAACCCCCCCAACUCCUCAGAUUUCCCUAGCACAGGGUUCUGCAGAGCUAAGUUUCCAUUCCUCCCCCUUCCUCCAGGUGUUGCAAGCCUUAGCUAGUACCAAUCCCCAGCAGCUACAACUGGAGGCUCACUUCCGGGUACAAUUGGAGCAACUACGGGCUAUGGGCUUUCUGAAUCUUGAAGCCAAUCUCCAGGCCCUCAUUGCUACAGGGGGUGAUGUAGAUGCUGCUGUGGAGAAACUGAGGAAGUCUUAGGAGCUCUAGUUAUUUGGACCAUAUCUUUUCCUUUGUGCCUUUCCCCCAUGUCUUAUUACCCUAGUUCUCCUAUUCUUGAAUACAGCUGCACUAUAAACCAAAUUACUAUGAUGUUCUUUACUGUGGAGACAAUGUUCUGGAGUCGAUAAGGAAGAUGACAAGCCAGAAAUAAGGAGCUCUCCAGAGUUGACUGAGUGCUUGGAAUCUUUGCUGUAGCUUCAUUGGAGAUUGAUUUACCCAGCACCAUGGUGGUAUACCUGGAGGAAACAGAUCAUCCUGGGGGCAGAGAAAGUUGCUGCCUUCUACCCAGCCACUAAGAGGUCCCAAGGCCUGUUCCCAGAACCUACAUUGGAUAGCUUGAGCCUCCUGCUCCAAGGAAAUCUCAGUCUUCUGGGGCUGCAGUUAUCUAUCUGCAUAUACAUGGCAUAUAUACGCAGAGAUAUGUAUAAAUAAACAUC